rnacentral:lncRNA from 1 species
UCCCUUGCACCAAAAACAGAAAGGAAGGCCUAUGAAAAUCAGACCAUGAAGUCUUAUUUUUCAUUCUUUGGUCUAGUAAUUUAAUUUCAUUUUCCAGAUUAUUAAUGCUGCAGUUUAUUAUAUAUUUGAUGCUGAAUUGCUGAAUUUGACUUGUCCAAAUGACAUCAAUCCUGCCUUUAUCUCAUUGCCAGAAGUAGUGAAUAUAUUGCUUUUUAUCCUGGUGAAAGGGAAGAUUCAAAGUUGUUUGAAGGAGAGGGGCUGAUCUGUGUGGUGGCAGUAGAACAUAUUCUGAUUGAUGUCCUCUAACCUUGCAAACUUGCCAGAGCAUCCACCUAGUUCAACCCUAGUUCAGUUAUCAUGGUGGAAACCCAUUAUGGGCACUCUUAGCAACUAUUGUGCCUAUAUAUUAAUAAGUCUACUGAAUAACAAUUAGUUCAUCCCCUUACUUCUUCAGCCCUUACUUCCACAUUGAAAGAAGUAAAAAGUAGAACUCACCAAUUGCUAUUUAAGCACAUUUGCUAGUUUUGUAAAGUCUAUAGACUUCUAAGAGGAAUAUAUGAAACCUCAAGUAAAUAUAUUAAAACAUGCACAAAAUAAAUAUAUUUAUGAUAUAUACUUUUUAUUGUAACUAUCAAAUUUUAAUCAAAAAAUUUGUAAUGCUAGGGAAAUCUCAGGUUUUACUAAUGGAAUUAUGAAAAAAUAUUAAUCUUAAUACAAUUUGUAAAAUGCCUUAAAAGUUAGAUGUUGAAAUGGACUUCCAGGUCCUGUAGCUACUUCUAUUGAAAUUAUCAUCAUAAUGUUUUACAAAAUGAGAAAAGUAAUACAGUUUCUCUUUCCAGUUGCCCUGAAGCAGACUAACUGAUGCUUGUAAAGAUGUUUCUCAGCAUAAAUGGAUUGUUAGAGAAUGAACUUCAGUUAAUUUUGACCUUAAAAAAAAGUCACGUAGAUAUGUAUUUUCAUCUGAAACAUUUUCAAGAGUCUUGCAAACAAGUCACUCUAAAAUAAUUUAUGACAAUGUUUAUGUGCUCAAUUACAUUUUGGUUUUUCAAUACAUAUUCUUACCUUAAGUGAAAGUAGAUUGUAUCCCUGGUUUUCAUUUUUCAGCACAUUUUCAAGUUUUCUAAGAGAAGUACAAAAUCAUAAUCUGUCACUACAUAACAUGUCACUACAUGUUCAACAUUUGUAAAACUCAAUUUAUUAUAAAUCCUGAGUUAUUAGUAACUGUUAUUUGAAAGCCAUUUUAGUAAUCAUAGAAAGCACUAAUAUUAAGGAGUAAAAAAUCAACAAUUAAUAUCAGAAAUAAACCAUGAGCUCUUAGAAACUAGUGGGAUACCAUUAGGCAUUCAUAAGAUAUAAUAAUUCAAAAGUAAAAAUUAUAUGCUUUGUAGCUCAAAAGUGCUUUCACCUAUUUUCUCAUUUGUGUAGCCUUGAAAUAGUGGUAGAUGAGUAUUUCAAAUUCAAGCAUCAGAUAUUUCAUAAAUACUGCAUAUGCCUGUGUGUGGAAUUAUUGAUGUUUUGAACCUAUAAACAGGAUAGAAAGGAAGAGAUGGUCAGGAAACAAUACUGGAGAAGAAAAAGAGGUAAAUGGUAAAAGCAGAAAAAAUGAUUAGAUUAUGUUUAUUUUAGAAUAGAUUCAUUUAGUGAAUAUGAAUUGAGGAACCUACUUAAUGCCAGGCACUAUUUGCAGCUCUGGAUGUACAGCAAUGAACAAAACUUUUAAGUCAUGCCCACAAGAUAAAGUGACCAACUCAUCUCAGUUUGCACAGAUGUUCCUGGUUUUAGUACUGAAAGCCCUGCAUUCCAGAAACCCCUUAGUCGAGGGCAAAUCAAGACGGUUGCUCACCAUUAUCAGAACCUCACUUUCUGGUAACUGUCAUCUUGAUUUCCAAAUUCAUAUUAAUAUUUUUAUCUCAUUGUUAAUGACAAUGCAAGUUAGCACUGACCACAAGUAACCAAUGGCUAGUAUACCUGUUUCUAACUGGGGCAAAGUUAUGACAAGAGCAAAUUAUAGUAAUAUCAAACUUCCUAGAAUUAUUUCUAGACAACACUCCUUGGAGUGCAACUGAAGUAUCAAAAGUACAACUUGCCCUCAAGGAAGAGUUAGUGUCUGGGAAUGUGAACGAACAAUCAUAACCACCAUUUGCAAGACACCUACGUAUAUCAUCUCUAGUUCUUACAAAGCCCUCUAAGGUAGUAUCAUCAUCUCCGUUGCAAGGAUAAAGACUUUGAGAGUAAACUCUCCCAUACACAAUAAUGAGAAAGAAAACCCAAGGUAAAAGAAGAGAAUUGGAGCUUUCAGAUGGCUAUAGCAAGUCUUGUAUAAGCAAUAGCAUUUAUUUUUCAGAACAGAAAACUAUUAAUGCUCUCAGUGUAUUUUACUUCUUGUGUUCUAUUGGAUUAUAUUUUCCUGGAAACUGGCUUCUCUUUGGGGUCACAUUUUGGUAAUCAAUGUUAGUCUUAUUCUUGUUCAGUCAAGUUUACUAAUGAAAUGGAUAGGACAGUACCUUUGAAGCACUGACUUGGUUAAUGUGGCAAUGUUUGAACUAUUUUUAUAUUGACUAUUAUUGAAUUUCGUAGAGGAACUUCAAAUUGAAGACGUUAUGGAUCAGCCAGCAUUCAAAGAUGAAAAUAAAUCAAU